rnacentral:rRNA from 1 species
GAUGAACGCUAGCUACAGGCUUAACACAUGCAAGUCGCGGGGCAGCAUGGGGGUUGCUUGCAAUCCCCGAUGGCGACCGGCGCACGGGUGAGUAACGCGUAUCCAACCUGCCCUUCACCACGGGAUAACCCGGCGAAAGUCGGACUAAUACCGUAUGUUGUCCAUUGACGGCAUCCGAUUUGGACGAAAGGUUUGGCGGUGAAGGAUGGGGAUGCGUCCGAUUAGCUGGACGGCGGGGUGACGGCCCACCGUGGCGACGAUCGGUAGAGGUUCUGAGAGGAAGGUCCCCCACACUGGAACUGAGACACGGUCCAGACUCCUACGGGAGGCAGCAGUGAGGAAUAUUGGUCAAUGGGCGUAAGCCUGAACCAGCCAAGUAGCGUGCAGGAUGACGGCCCUAUGGGUUGUAAACUGCUUUUAUGCGGGGAUAAAGUGGCCCACGUGUGGGUUUUUGCAGGUACCGCAUGAAUAAGGACCGGCUAAUUCCGUG